GCACAAGCGGUGGAGCAUGUGGUUUAAUUCGACGCAACGCGCAGAACCUUACCAGCCCUUGACAUGCCUCGGAAGUGGACGAGAGAUCGACCACGCUCUUCGGAGCCGGGGACACAGGUGCUGCAUGGCUGUCGUCAGCUCGUGUCGUGAGAUGUUGGGUUAAGUCCCGCAACGAGCGCAACCCUCGCCUUCAGUUGCCAUCAUUUAGUUGGGCACUCUGGAGGGACUGCCGGUGACAAGCCGGAGGAAGGUGGGGAUGACGUCAAGUCCUCAUGGCCCUUACGGGCUGGGCUACACACGUGCUACAAUGGUGGUGACAGUGGGCUGCGAUGGGGUGACCCUGAGCAAAUCCCAAAAAGCCAUCUCAGUUCGGAUUGCACUCUGCAACUCGGGUGCAUGAAGUUGGAAUCGCUAGUAAUCGCGCAACAGCACGGCGCGGUGAAUACGUUCCCCGGGCCUU
rnacentral:rRNA from 1 species